UGCUGCGGCGGCGGGGGCGCCUGCCGCUGCGGACGGCGGCGCAGCGGGUCCUCGUUCGGGUCGAGGUACUGCACC
rnacentral:tRNA from 1 species